rnacentral:lncRNA from 1 species
GAUGACAAGUAUUUUCGGACGGAGGGAGUACAUGUCAAUGCAUCUUUAUGGAAGCGGGAGGACGUGUAUGAUCACGUGGUUUGUAGCGCAUUUUCACCUGGAUAUACUGUUUGGGGUUGCCAUGGGGAAACAGCAUCAUUCAUCUCUACUAACAAACAAGGUGAAACUCCAACACACACAAGAAGUAACAAAAGGUCACGAUCACAGUUUGAAGGAACAAAAUCUAAUAUGCGUCAGUUAGUGGAAGAUGUUUUCUGUGGACCUCCAACGAUAGAACCUGAAACCCCAAAAUCUAAUAUGCGUCGGUUAGUGCAAGCCUCACCAAUUGUCUUGCAAUCAGAAACUUCCCUUACCAACUCCUCGUGGUCGUGGUCGAGCAACAUUUUCAUGAUUAUAUAUACACUGUAGUUUUACCUGAAGUCAAAGCUGAGUUUGCAUGACAUUAAGAACCAUUGUAUGUUCCUGCAGAUCGUUGGCUGAGCUUACACCCUUCAUAAAUUUUGAUGGAAUGAGGUCUUUCAAUCAACAUAUAAACCCAACUUUUGUUUUUCUUUAUUGCUUUUCAAUUUCUCGUUCUAUAUUUCCAUUGAUGCUGCCAUUGUGGAUUAUGAUAACUGUUAGUACCUCAUCCUUACUGUCCUGACACUUACUUGGUUGGGAAUAUUACGCAAAAUCUCAUCCACGGGUGAAAUAAUUCAUUGCUAAGAGAUGUGGCAAUAUAUUUAAUGCAUGCUUAUAUCAUCCGGGCAGUAUAUAAUAGAUGUGGCAGUAUAUUAUGCAAAAUUUCAUCCAAAGGUUAAAUAAUUUCGUCCAUGUUUCCUUUCCGAGAGAUGCACAUUUUGUUUUCCUGGUAUAUUUGAUGCACGAUGCAAUUUUUGCUGGCCCUCUAGUGUUUGUGUCUAGUUUGUCCAGUUAGGUGCAUCUGUGCUGGAUCAUACAUGUUAUCACUACGUGGCAAAUAUGAACCUAGCGCGAACUAAGAAAUCUCAUGUUCUACCAUAAAGCACCAAAUGUCCAUAUAUGUAUUGCAUUUAACUUGACUCUUUUCAUUUGUUAUGAACUUCUGCUCACGCGCUUAAGUGAAUCUUCUUUUUCAGGAAAUUUUGCAACUAGAGAUUAGAAGGAUUGUUCUAAAAUGAUGGAUGAAGUAAUGUGUUCUUUUAGCGGAGCUUUGUAUGUUUGCAUAGUUUUCACUCUUCAAAAUGAAGCUUGGAAAAUUUCAGAAAAUUUUAGCGGACUUAAGCUUCAUGUAUGAGAGAUUGUCAUUGGGAAUAGAUGCAUUUUUGUUGAAGAAGUAUUAUGUCAGAUUUACUAUCUUGUAAACUAUGUUUGAAAUUAAACCUGGAUGGCUGAUUCAACAUUUUCUUCUUUGUUGUUGUGAAACGACCUUUGCAUGUGUAAUUCAACAUGUCUUUUUGGUGAGUUUAUA